GACGAACGCUGGCGGCGUGCUUAACACAUGCAAGUCGAACGGUAAGGCCCUUCGGGGUACACGAGUGGCGAACGGGUGAGUAACACAUGGGUGAUCUGCCCUGCACUUCGGGAUAAGCCUGGGAAACUUGGUCUAAUACCGGAUAGGACCAAUACCGGCAUGGGUGGUGGUGGAAUGCUUUUGCGGUGUGGGAUGGGCCCGUGGCCUAUCAGCUUGUUGGUGGGGUGAUGGCCUACCAAUGCGACGACGGGUAGCCGGCCUGAGAGGGUGACCGGCCCCACUGGGACUGAGAUACGGCCCAGACUCCUACGGGAGGCAGCAGUGGGGAAUAUUGCACAAUGGGCGCAAGCCUGAUGCAGCGACGCCGCGUGAGGGAUGACGGCCUUCGGGUUGUAAACCUCUUUCAGCACCGACGAAACGCAAGUGACGGUAGGUGCAGAAGAAGGACCGGCCAACUACGUGCCAGCCGCCGCCGUAA
rnacentral:rRNA from 1 species